rnacentral:lncRNA from 1 species
UAUGAAAAGAACUAUAACAUUAUUUUCUCACUCUGAUAACUGUAGGUUGACAACAAUACGAGAUAGAGAAGCAGUUCUAUAAUUGGUUACGCCAUAUUGAGUAAAGGACCUCGGUAAACUUCGGUAGGUUUGUAUUGUACUAAUGGAGAUCUGGGCUGACAGAUCAAAAGCUUUGUAUGUUAGUUAUAUGUGGCAGUUUGGGUUCCAUUAUUUAAAGCAUAAUUCUUUUGUCCAAAUUCUAGAUGGCAACAAGCAAGAUUCCUGAAAGCUGUGUGUUCAUUUGUCUUCCUGGUUUAACCAGUGUAUCCUAUAAAACGCCAACCAGAAACUUCAGAAAUGUUUGACAUCAGUGUUGACAUCCUCUUGACGGGCCUCUUAUGGUACAUAGUAAGUAUAGCCCUGUCUCGUUGGUAACAGGAAUUCGUUUCCUAUAAUUCGCAAUAGUUCUAAUUAGCCAUUUCCUAAUUGAGCAGAGGACUGGGUCUAGUUGAUGUUUGGAGGGACAACAAGUUAUAGUGAGCGAGCUAAAUAUAUAUUAAAAGAUGCCUUAUUAUAAUUGUUGCGUUUCAGGCUGCACAAAUAACUUUAGGAAUGUAGGAAAACAUCCCAGAUGCCAUAUUCGGCAUAUUGUUUAUUUUUUGUCCUUCCAAACAUGCGACUAGACCCAGUCCUCUGCUCGAUUGGAAAUUGGCUAAUUGUAAUGAUAUGCGUAACGGUGGUUGGUGUGAGUAUUGGAAAUGAACAAGUAUUGGUUUUAACGUUUCCCAAUCUCGGGGGCGUUUGUAGCGUAUGAUGGCUAGAAACUUCGAAACGAGGGCAUCCGUUGUCGUAAUCUUUUAGCAACUCUCAAAUCUAGAGAGGUGUCCGUUUCAGAGAAAGCCGUAUAGUUCCACUGUAAACUGCCAACUUGGAAUCGUCGAUUACUGACAACUGUAAAUGGAAAGGAGGGAAAUUAUAUCCAUGCCAAUGGGGUCCGGCGUAUAGGUGAGUGUCUGGACAUUUUGCCGAAAGACACUUUGCCAAAAGAAAUUUGGCUAGAUUAUAGAAUACCCGGCCAAUUUUGAUAGUGUUUGCUUUUGGGGGAUACGCAGUCAAUAAAAUGAUGUAAUUAUUAUAAAGCCCUGUUCAUUGGGGAAUACGGUAGUCAAUCAAACAACAUUUAUUAUAAAACCGUGUUAUUAUACUUCGUUUUAAGUAAUGGGACCACAAUUUAAUAUAUUUUAGACUUACUGUAGUUGUGUAAGUUUGCCUCGUUCUUUAAAAGACACGCUCACACACAUUAUAUAAACGCGCUCUAUAUUAUACACAAUAGCUUACUCAUGAUUUCUACCAUAUUACAUGCAGCAAGAUAAAAAGUGUUUAUUCGCCGUAGCCUUUAGUGAUUGAGCAGGUAACCUAUGGUACUUGUGCAGCUUACGUCAAAGGCACUUUCAAUAUUUUUCUAUUUUUUUCUCUUUUAUUAUUGUUUUUUAGACUUGUUUUAACUCAAAUGCGUAGAGAAAGGGCUACGGGUAUGUUUGUCUGCAUGCAUGUAGAAUUUUUUUUAAAUAUUUCAUAUCGGAUGAAUGGUUAUCAGACAAGGAGUUUCUGUGUCGCAUGAAUAUCCACGGCGGAAAUAUGAUUUAUGUGUUUCAUGAGUUUGCCUCGUUCAGUCGUUCUUUAAAAGAAACGCUCACACAACAUAUAUACUCGUACAUAAAAUAUUAUAUUUCAUAGAACACGCGCUUAUGUCAGUAUACCAAAUUUUAUGUAAUAUAUAUAAUAUCUCGUUCUUCCAAUUCCCUAUUCUAAUAUUAACCUCGGUAUUAACUUCGUUUCAAGAAAGAUAACAAAACUUAAUAUAUAUUAGUCGCAAUCCCCCGUAUCAUUGAAAUAUAGUAGUUACCCAUUCUCUUCUUAAUUUGAAACAUUAAACUACUCAUGCAAAUAAUUACGUCAUUUGACUGCGUGUGGGGACACACUAUAGUAUAGUAGAGAGUGAGAUACUGAAAAAUACACAGUGAGAUAUCUUCACUAGUGAAGAUAUCGAUCACGUGACUUUUUCCAAUUUGCUUUUGAACGUGAAAUUUCACAAUUUUUUGCUUGGGACUAUAUAAUAAACAGAACAUUACACGGUGGCUUGAAGAUAUGACUUUUAUCUUCUCGUAUUCAAAACAAUCUUUUACUGACUCGCUGCGCUCGUUCGUAAAAUAUUGUUUUCACCACUCGAAGAUAAAAGUCAUAUCUUCGCGUCGCCGUGUAAUAUCCUCUAUUGUGUCAAGAAGCAGCAUUAAAUUUUACACUUUUAUAAUUAUAAAGAACUACCGUUAUUAAGAACUUCAACAAAGCAGAACGAAAAUGCAACGAAAGAGCAGCUAAUAAUAUCAUAUUAGUGCAAGAAAGUGAGCAGAAAUUAGUAAUUAAAAUCUCACGGACAUUUUACACGUCGCCGUAGCUCUGUUUUACAACGGCGAAAUACAGAUUAUCACGUCUUGUAUACAACGCUCACAUUCCAAGCUGGGACAUGCAACUCCUAUUUUAAAUUGGGUCCUAGAACUUUUCACAAUCAUAAACCCUGUAUUAAUUUUGAUCCUUAAACUGUAUUAUUUUCAUACGAUGGAUUAAUAGACGACAAGUUUUCUUCUGCAAUCAUUUGGUUCAACGAGAUUGUUUGCCGUCGCCGUCGCGUCCUAUUUCCGUUAUAGAAAUAGUUUUAUCAUCAGUAAUUCAAUUAAGGCAUAAUUAACAAUAGUAUUAGGCAAUCUAAGUAUUAUUAUUAUUAUUUAUUAUUAUUAUUAUUAUUAUUUUAUUAUUUACAAUUAUUUUCACACGGUAACAUCUCAACCAUAGCCCUAAAAUAUCUAAAAGUUAUAAUACAUUUUUUUAAAAAUAAAAAGGUUGAUUUUCAGAUGGCCGUGUAUUUAAAACUAAAAGACUAAAUUUGGAAAUAUGUACAUAAUUUAAAGUAUAAUGUUAAAAAAGUUAAAAAAGUAGUCUUAUAAAAUUUAUACAGUUCAAAUCUUUCUAUGAAGUUCAAUAUCGUUCCAAGCUGCAGCACCCUUGUAACUAAAGCUACGCUUUAAAGCGUUGGUGUUGGGUUUAGGCAAGUAGAGAACGUGGUUGUUACUUCUUAAUUGAUACGUUUGAUUAGAAGAGAUAGUAAAAAACGCCCGGAGGUAAUCAAUUGAAUUUCCUUUCAUUAUUUAUAUCAUUAGAGUUUCUAGUUGUUUCUCUCUCCUUUCCUGUAAGGUGUCCCAACCGAAUUUGGUUCUGACAACAUCAGAGGGUGUUUCGUAGCAAUCACCUGUGAUUAUUCGACCUGCUUUAUUUUGUAGCUUUUGUAUAGUUCGUUUUGCAAGGUUUGGGAACAAUUAUCCCAUACUAACGCACAAUAGUCAAAAUGCGGUAAAACAAAAGGGCUAUAAAUAGUUUUAAGAGUAUCUUUAUCAAGUAAGUCUUUAGAUCGUCUCAGUAUUCCAAUCCCUUUCGAAUAAUAAACACGAUCAGUUAAACACGAUCAGUUCAGGAACUGUUUUAAACAAAAAAACAUAAAUACGAUCAGUUCAGGAACUGUUUUAAACAAUGAAUAAUUUCAGAAAUAGUUUUUACCGUAACCUAAUUUAGGCAUAAUUAUAGCAUUCAGCUAUUGUAUUUUCUAAUUUGUACAUAUAUAACGCAUAGUGGAAUUCUUCAACAUGUUUUAAGGUCCUCUCUUUUAUCAAUUCUUGUAAAUUUUACUCAAUUCAGCUUAUGGCUGCAAUGUAAAUUUCAAUAAACUAUCUAUCUAUCUAUCCAUCUAUCUAUGUAUGUUAGUUAUAAGUGAAAGUCUGAGUUCUAUUUUAAUUUAUAAUUUUUUUGUUCAAAUUCUAGAUGGCAACGAGCAAGAUUUCUGAAAGUUGUGUGAUUAUUUGUCUUCUUGGUUUAAAAAGUGUGAUCUGUAUCAGCAACUCAG